UCAGUUCUCACACCUCAGUGAAGGCUCUGCAGGGGUCUUGCAGGUUCCGAUGUACGUGGUCAGGAGAUAAAUGGCAGGCUGUGGGUUGGGUUGUGGUCUGAGCACAGCAUGGGGCAGGAAACAAACACUGCCUUCAGCACUUGUCUGACACCAUCCCUGGCAGGAAGCAACUCCAGAAGGAGCUACACACAGUCAAUGAUUUUCUUUCUCAGCCCCGUCUACCCUACAGCAGCUGAAGUAGCUAGCUGCUCGAGGAGGCAGUAAUUGAUGGCUUUGAUUUACUGAAGAAAAAUAACUGUGGGCAGUUAUCUCGUCCAGGGACAAGCCCUUCUGAAUGUGAAAACUGCCCUCAGUAACGAGGGACUGUUACAGAUCUGUAAACUGUCAUUUCUGCUGGGAACCAACCUCACCAGACAGUCUCACUCUGAUAUCCAAGCUCGAGUACAGUGGCAUGACCAGAGCUCACUGCAGCCUCAACCUCCCAGACUCAAGGGAUCUUCCCGUCUCAGCCCCAUGAGUAGCUGGGACUACAGGAGAGGACACAGAGAGAAGGCAGCACUCUGCAAACCAGGACAAGAGACCUCACCAGGGACAUAUUCAGCUGCCACCUUCAUGUUAGAUCCCUAAACCUCCAGAACCGUGAGAAAUAAACAUGAUUUUAAGCCAUACAGUCUGUGGUAUUUUGUUUUGACUGACACAGCCUGAAAACCCAUUUUCUCCUCACCACACCUGAGUGAUAUCUGUGUGACUGCAGGUACUCAGGAAACCUUAAAAAAAGAGAGAGAAAUGUCCCCAGCUGUGCCCGGGAGAAGCAGCAGCCUGGAACAGAGGAUUGCACCCAGGCUGGGACACUGCCAAUCAUCUUCAUGUGACCCUGAGCAAGUCACUGAAUGGGGCUUUAGCUGCCCCAUUUGUUUAAUUUUUUUUAUUUUUGAUUUUUUUUUUUUGAGAUAAAGUGUCAUUCUGUUGCCAGACUGGAGUGCAGUGGUGCAAUCUCUGCCUCCUGGAUUGAAG
rnacentral:lncRNA from 1 species